UACGAAGGAUCCUAGCGUUGUCCGGAUUUACUGGGCUUAAAGGGCGCGUAGGCGGAUAAUUAAGUCAGUGGUGAAAUCCUGGAGCUCAACUCCAAAACUGCCUUCGAUACUGGGAGUCUCGAGUUCGGGAGAGGUGAGUGGAACUGCGAGUGUAGAGGUGAAAUUCGUAGAUAUUCGCAAGAACACCAGUGGCGAAGGCGGCUCACUGGCCCGAUACUGACGCUGAGGUGCGAAAGCGUGGGGAGCAAACAGG
rnacentral:rRNA from 1 species